AACGAACGCUGGCGGCAUGCCUAACACAUGCAAGUCGAACGAGACCUUCGGGUCUAGUGGCGCACGGGUGCGUAACGCGUGGGAACCUGCCCUUAGGUUCGGAAUAACUCCCCGAAAGGGGUGCUAAUACCGGAUAAUGUCUUCGGACCAAAGAUUUAUCGCCUUUGGAUGGGCCCGCGUUGGAUUAGCUAGUUGGUAGGGUAAAAGCCUACCAAGGCGACGAUCCAUAGCUGGUCUGAGAGGAUGAUCAGCCACACUGGGACUGAGACACGGCCCAGACUCCUACGGGAGGCAGCAGUAGGGAAUAUUAGACAAUGGGCGAAAGCCUGAUCCAGCAAUGCCGCGGGAGUGAUGAAGGCCUUAGGGUUGUAAAGCUCUUUUACCCGGGAUGAUAAUGACAGUACCGGGAGAAUAAGCUCCGGCUAACUCCGUG
rnacentral:rRNA from 1 species